UACGUAGGGUGCGAGCGUUAAUCGGAAUUACUGGGCGUAAAGCGUGCGCAGGCGGUUUUGUAAGCCAGAUGUGAAAUCCCCGGGCUCAACCUGGGAAUGGCAUUUGGGACUGCAAGGCUGGAGUACGGCAGAGGAGACUGGAAUUCCUGGUGUAGCAGUGAAAUGCGUAGAGAUCAGGAGGAAUACCGAUGGCGAAGGCAGGUCUCUGGGCUGAUACUAACGCUCAUGCACGAAAGCGUGGGGAGCAAACAGG
rnacentral:rRNA from 1 species